rnacentral:lncRNA from 1 species
AGGAACUAGUUGUUUUUUCCAAAUAAAAUAAAAUACAAGAGAGGGGUCGAACAUACUAGGACAUGACAUCGGCGGAGUAAAGUUCUGGUAUAUCGCUGAUUCGAUAGGUAUAACAGUAGCAAGAUAAAUGAUUGCUUCUCUCAAUGUUAGAAUAUGUCUAGAGAUUGAUGGGUUUUUCGCUCUUAUUAGGAUGGCACACUUAUCUUUGCUUAUAAAUGCGAAAUUUGACAGAGUAUAUAGUAAUUGUUUUGAUAUAAUUAUGUCCAUUUUGUAUGAUUUGCUAGUAUUUUGGGUACUGAUCGGGACAAGAAAAGAAAGCUCUAUAAAACAUGAAAAAAGUUUAGAGGAAAGAUGGUGGAAGCUUAACUAAUGGCUCAAAAAAAAUGAAAUUUUGCCUUAUGAGAGUUUAGGUGACAGUCAGCACGAAUUUAUAGUGAAUAUUUUCGGCUCAUGUCAUAAAUAAGUUACUAUAACUAGAUAAUCUUCUCAGAUUUUGUUUCCUUAAAUUUUAAUUUUAGGAAAAAUUAAGAGUGAACUGGGUGUUGGUCCGUCGUAUGACAUGAUAGAACACCAUAAGAUAUAAUUAAAAAUAAAUAAUAACUAGUAACUUGUAUCAUAAGAUAACGUUUUCUUUUUAAAAGUGGCAAAUUUCAUUAAAAGGUCAAAAGAGUAAAUAAUACAUAACUGAGUACUCUACCAACCUCACCUAUAUCGCACUGAGCGAUCGACGGGACACUGGUGCAAACAAUUGGCUUUGGGUGAUGGCAAAGAUAAAAAAAAGUUUUGAUUUGGCUACUGUUUUAGUUGUCGACGGUGGGAUCAACAGAGGAGCCGUUGAUUGUAUUGGGUCCAUCUCAUUUAGGUGGCCCAAACUUAAAAUUUAAUAAGUUUAGACAAUUAAAGGAAACUUAAAGGGAGCAAAUGACAUUUGCCAUGAAAUUUGGCUAUAGAAACCAGCAUAAGUGGAGGCGGCAGUAACCUUUUGAGAGAAGAAAAAGACGGGAGAGAAAGGAAGGGACUGUGGAGUUGAGAUUAUUUAAGGGUAAGAUUUUUAAUAUUUAAUUAGGUGAUCGGAAGGCGAAAUUAACUUCGUUUUCUCUUAAAUUUUGAGGUUAAGUUUCUGGCAUCACCUUUUACAAUUUUAUUAAUCUUGAUUUUUAUUUUAUAUUCUUUUUUGCUAUUAUUUGAGACACUCACUUGUUAAAAAGAGUUAUUAGGCUGUUACUGUAAAUCAAGAAUAUUGAGAUUCUUGAUGUUGGUAGUCUCUAGUAUUAUUUAGAGAAAAAUUAAUACUAUAAUCUCAUUAAUAUAGUAAAAAAUUAUAUUGAACUACGAGCCCGUGAUUUUUCCUGCUUUGGAUUUUUCACGUAAAAAUCUGUGUCUCUUAUAGUUGGUUUUUGCUUUGGAUUUUGUUGGUUAAUUUUUCUGCUUAUUUAUUUAUGGUACACAUAUUAUUUUAAUCACACAAAGAGAUAAAGAGUUUUGUUUCUGCAUAAUUUGCAGCUGCUUAUCGUAGUCUCUUUCCCAAUAGAUUGCGAGAUCUAGAUACUGAAGCAACUCUAAAUACACGAUGGUGUAUCAAAGACGCGGCCGCGAAUCUCUUUGUUUUAGGAAGAAAGGCAUGGCACACAUGCGGUUGAUUUAGUGUUGAGUUUUUUAGCUGCGCAUCAGGAUUAUGGUGUUUAUGGCUUGGAUGUGAGUUUCAUAAGGAGAUUUGAGUGACUAGAAUAAAACAGUAACAUAACACACGACAUAGAACAUUUAUAUAAUAUGUCACAUCUUUUUCAACUUUAAAAUAUUGAGUUAAAUUAAUUUUAAAAAUUACUCGACAGUGAUACUUCAUUUUGUGAUAUUUGCAAACGUCAUAACGUUAAGAACAAUAGGGUAAUUUUUAAAAACCUCCCCUGAGGUUUGGGUUUGUUGUAAAUAGAUGACGAAAAUUUAUUUAUUUGUAAAAAAUCUCCUACCGUCAGUUAACUUUAACAUUGACCGUUAGUUGACUGUGCAAAGACAAUAUUACCCUUAACAACAGUUUGUAGACGGAAAUAACUAAAAAAAAAAAUUAAAAUUGUUGGCUAUUUUACCCUCUUUAAAUUAUUGAUAUUUUCUUAAAGUUCCUACAAGAAAGAUAAAAUUAAAAAUUUGAAAAAUUCUCUUUAAAUUAUUGAUAUUUUCUU